CUAACUACGUGCCAGCAGCCGCGGUCAUACGUAGGAUCCAAGCGUUAUCCGGAGUGACUGGGCGUAAAGAGUUGCGUAGGUGGCUUGUUAAGCGAGUAGUGAAAUCUGGAGGCUCAACCUCCAGGCUAUUACUCGAACUGGCAAGCUCGAGAGCGGUAGAGGUAGCUAGAAUUCCCAGUGUAGGGGUGAAAUCCGUAGAUAUUGGGAGGAAUACCAAUGGCGUAGGCAGGCUACUGGACCGUUUCUGACACUGAGGCACGAAAGCGUGGGGAGCGAACCGGAUUAGAUACCCUAGUAGUC
rnacentral:rRNA from 1 species